GGAAAUCGGAGGCAAGAUUUGUAAAUUUUAGGGUUUUGACUACAAUUUUUGUGCAAAUUUUAUAGGGUUUGGAGUUAGGGUGAAUAAAUUAUAGCCGUUUGAAGUUAAGGUGUCAAUUUGAGACCUACUGUUACUCUUUUGAGUUUAAGAGGAGUCUUACGGAAGCUUUUGGAGAUCGGAAGGUGCGGCUGGAAGGGCAACUUCAAGACAUACAUCUUUUGUGAAGGAAAUUUUGCAUUUGGAGUUUAUGUGAAGGAGUUAUAGGGAGUUAAAGACAGCGCAUUCAAAUCAAAGGCAGUAAGUAAGCGGUUUUGUUCAGAGUAGUGUUAGGAGCCAUAACUUGAGUUUUCGAACGAAAUUUUGGCUCAAACUUUGAAAGAAUGUAAAAAUUUGUGUUAAGAAGCUCUCUAUACAAGUUUCGUGGCAUUUAGACUUAUGGUUUGUGAGAUAUGAAAAAAAUUGCGCGUGGGUAUAUAAAGAUUAGGGUUUGAAGCGACUGUUAGGGUUUUGAAGAUAUCUCAAGAUCCGCAACGAAUUUGCGGUUGAAAUUUGUUGUACAAAUUAAUAACAACAUAUCAGUACGUCAUGUAAAUUUUGAUCUUGUUUGGACGGUUGGAUCAAGAGUUAUGAGGUGUUGAGGUUCGGGAGAAUUUCCACACAAGGAUAUACAAGGUUUUAGAGUACUUCUACCAUAUUUUGGGUGUUGUUGGUUAUUUAAGACUUAAGUAUUUGGUGUAAUUGUCCCAAAAGGAGAACUUAUAUAUAUAAAAUUAGGGUUUCCUUAUUUUAAGCUUGAUUGAACAAUUAGCAGCCAGAAGCCCAACACUUUCUUGAGGCAAAACCUCUCUACCCCGACACUGUUA
rnacentral:lncRNA from 1 species